CAGCCGCCGCGGGAAUACGUAGGUGGCAAGCGUUGUCCGGAAUUAUUGGGCGUAAAGGGCUCGCAGGCGGUUUCUUAAGUCUGAUGUGAAAGCCCCCGGCUCAACCGGGGAGGGUCAUUGGAAACUGGGAAACUUGAGUGCAGAAGAGGAGAGUGGAAUUCCACGUGUAGCGGUGAAAUGCGUAGAGAUGUGGAGGAACACCAGUGGCGAAGGCGACUCCCUGGUCUGUAACUGACGCUGAGGAGCGAAAGCGUGGGGAGCGAACAGGAUUAGAUACCCCCGUAGUCCCUGUCUCUUAUAC
rnacentral:rRNA from 1 species